UACGUAGGGGGCUAGCGUUGUCCGGAAUCAUUGGGCGUAAAGCGCGUGUAGGCGGUCCGGUAAGUCCGCUGUGAAAGUCGAGGGCUCAACCCUCGAAUGCCGGUGGAUACUGUCGGGCUUGAGUACGGGAGAGGCGAGUGGAAUUCCUGGUGUAGCGGUGAAAUGCGCAGAUAUGGAGGAACACCGGUGGCGAAGGCGGCUCUCUGGACCGAGACGUGACGCUGAGGCGCGAAAGCGUGGGGAGCGAACAGG
rnacentral:rRNA from 1 species